AGAGAUGUUUUGGCUAAACAGCAGACAUACACAAACUAACAGGGAUAAAAGCACUCAUAUGAAAGGUUUAACGAAACAUCACAUAUUUCUAUUUAAGAUCUAUAUUCCAUGGCUUACUUUUGAAUUACAACACAAGCAUACAACAUCAAGCACAAUAAAACAUUCAUUCCCUAACAUUUGACCUAAACCACACAUCAAAGACUUUCACUCAAGAUCACAACAUAAACUUAUAGGUUUUGACUUAGGGUUUCAAACGAAACUGAUUUUACAUUUUUAUGAACUUCCUAUGAAAAUCUAUGAAAUGUAGAAGUUCAUCGAUUUGAAAUAAAGAAAGUUCUGGAAAUUUUACAGAAAACAUCCUAGAACUAUCUAAAACGUAG
rnacentral:lncRNA from 1 species